GGAAACGGUGGCUAAUACCGCAUAACGUCGCAAGACCAAAGAGGGGGACCUUCGGGCCUCUUGCCAUCAGAUGUGCCCAGAUGGGAUUAGCUUGUUGGUGAGGUAACGGCUCACCAAGGCGACGAUCCCUAGCUGGUCUGAGAGGAUGACCAGCCACACUGGAACUGAGACACGGUCCAGACUCCUACGGGAGGCAGCAGUGGGGAAUAUUGCACAAUGGGCGCAAGCCUGAUGCAGCCAUGCCGCGUGUAUGAAGAAGGCCUUCGGGUUGUAAAGUACUUUCAGCGGGGAGG
rnacentral:rRNA from 1 species